GCUGAGCCUCCGUCCAGAUCAUCUGGGUCCAGUGUCCAGGCUCCGAGGCAGACUUUGUGUGUGACAUACUAUUUCUGUCUCAUGGUCUGGUCAACCUAUUAGCAAAAGAUACUUGGAUACUUCAGUGAUGGGGAUGAUAAAAGAUGUAGAUGGUUCUUGGGCAUGUCAUUCAUUUUUCUCUGCUUCAGAUCUUCACUGUGCAAAUGAAAAGAGUAAACAUCAUUCAUUUAGACAGAGCGCUGCCUGAACAAGGGGCUGUCUGAGCCUACGUGCCAUCAGUGUCCAGGAAAUAGCACUGUGAUCUGAAUCUGUAGGCAGUGUUCUGUUAUAUCAUCUACCUCCAAUGAGAGUUUUGCAUACAGUUAAGAGAUUAGAGAUUGGAAAUGGUGAUUUCUUGCUUGCUUUUUUAUUAUCAUUUCAGGGAGACUUGUGAUAUGUUUUUUCUCUUUGAGAUGUGCCGCCUAAGAGAGCAAAUAUUGCAGCUGAAUCUCGUUUUCAUUAUUCUGUCUCAAGCUCUGGCCUUUAAGAACGCAAGCAGACAUGGUAUCUGUACAAGGAGGUGGCAGAGGUCUUGUGUAGUCUUCUCAAAACAGUCCUUUUCUUUGCAUGGUGUAGCAGUCAGAAAAUGCAUCAGGAAAGUAGAGAUAAAAGAGAAUGAAUGACAUGAGUGAGUGCAGGAGCCAGAAAUAACCUUGUGACUUGGCUUGUUCACCCAGCCCAAAAUUACCAGUAUAAUGAAAGUGUGGGGUUGAGCCAUCUUUAAGUGUAGUAUAAAGAUUUAGUCUGCCUGGACAUACAUUUGUCAAAACACUUAAUUGUGGUGUGGGUGCAUUAGUAAAAUGAAAUGAUGCCGUAUUAAAAUCAGUAUCCAUACAGUCUUGCAUAAUUUAACUGUAUCAGGUUAGAAAGGGAUUUUUUAGCAUAUCAAUGAGCCCUGGCUGGCUUUAUUGUCUACAGAGACUGCAUAGUAAAUAAUACAUUACCAACGAUGUGUUUCUCAGGAUCCUAAAUUCACCACUCUCCACAAUCUCUUAUCUUUUCUUCACUGGACUACUUAGUCUCUUCUGAGCUGCAGUCCUGCUCCUCAUUCUGGUCAGGUUGAAGCACAUUUCCAUUGCUUUGUUGGAGGUUAAGAGCAAAGGUCAGGCUGCUACAAGGGGUUUAACUGGGGAGCGUGAAUAUUGAGCCCUCUUUCAGCUAAGGGAAGAGUUGCACUGCCAGGAAACUCACAUUGUGAUUAGGAGCUGGUCAUCAUCAUGCUGGGAGGAUGGAGCUGUGUACAGAAGAAAACUAGUCAGUCAGAAUGGUCUUUGCCCAUCUUUUCUACAUAAGGGGGAAGUCACAGAGAAGAAAAAAAAGUACCCUUCAAAAAGCUACACUGUCUUUGUAUCAGCUGAAUACAUAUGCAAUAAUUUGCCAGCCUGAUGGAGACAGGAGUUGAAAUAUACUUGGAGCAGUUAUGUUCAACCAGAUGAUCUGCCUUAUAGGAGUGGAGGAGGGAAAAGAAUGCAAAAGCUGGUGAAGCUUUAGCCCCUGCCUUCAGCACAGUUCAGCUGAUGAAAGCCUCCAGUCAUUGCUCUCAGCAAGGGACCUGAUUCCAACCGUCAUGCUUGGACUGGGACAGCUUAAUGGUGAUACUGGGGAGCUCUGGGGGAGAGGCCACUUGGGGCAGCUGCUCUCCAAGCUGGGUGCUCACCUCCCCAUCCAUCGCAGCUGCUUCUUUUGGAGAGAGCCAUCACAGAUCAGGCACAUGAUGAAAUCUCCGGAGGGGCUGGAGCUACCCACAGCCUGGUGAUGGGGACCUGAGAUGGAGCAGCUGCCAGGGACCCACAGCUGUCACCCCAAGACCCUCAGCACCCACCUGCCUCUGCUGGAGAGCUGCUUGGAAACCUCAGGAUGGGAACAAGCCGCAGUGUCAGGGGGCACUGUGUGUUAGUCUUGGUUUGCAUUGUUCCUCCAAUCCUGCGCUCAGGUAAGGAUGUGGUUUUAAAGGGAAUUCAGGAAAAAUCUCUUUCACAGGGCAAUAUUUCUUUAGCACCAACAGUAAUGGAGGUGGAUGGGGAAAUGAACCAUUCCCCAUUACACUGGAACCUAACUGCACAGCCCAUGCUUUCCAGUUAAAAUUUGAUUGCCUCGAAUCCUGUGUAUUAUGGAAAAUAAGAAAAAGGCCUGGUAAAAUUUAUGUGUUUUAAUCAUAAACCGAUAGAAUCACAGUAAAUCUAUCAUAAGCAUGCAGAUACAGACCCGGGAAAAACAGAGAGGAAAGCAAUAGCUCUGCUUUUUUCCUGGAGGAGCUGCAUGUACCCAUGACAGGGCCAGAGAGAUGGGGAGGAUGGGGAAGAGAG